rnacentral:lncRNA from 1 species
GGGACUUCCGGCCUCGCUGGCGUGGACGUUUGUGGUGGGGCGUGUUGGUCCGCGCUCUCAGAACUGUGCUGGGAAGGAUGGUAGGGCGACUGGGGCUCACCUCCGCACCGUUGUAGGACCCGGGGUAGGGUUUUGAGCCCGUGGGAGCUGCCCCACGCGGCCUCGUCCUGCCAACGGUCGGAUGGCGGAGACGAAGGACGCAGCGCAGAUGUUGGUGACCUUCAAGGAUGUGGCUGUGACCUUUACCCGGGAGGAGUGGAGACAGCUGGACCUGGCCCAGAGGACCCUGUACCGAGAGGUGAUGCUGGAGACCUGUGGGCUUCUGGUUUCACUAGGGCAUCGGGUUCCCAAACCAGAGUUGGUCCACCUGCUAGAGCAUGGGCAGGAGCUGUGGAUAGUGAAGAGAGGCCUCUCACAUGCUACCUGUGCAGGUGACAGAGCACAAGUUCAUACCAGAGAGCCAACCACUUACCCGCCAGUCUUAUCUGAGCGGGCCUUUCUCCGGGGAAGCCUGACUCUGGAAUCUUCAACCUCAAGUGAUUCGAGGUUGGGGAGAGCUAGGGAUGAGGAAGGGCUUUUGGAAAUGCAGAAAGGUAAAGUGACACCGGAGACAGACCUCCACAAGGAGACCCAUCUUGGGAAAGUGAGCCUUGAAGGUGAAGGUUUGGGGACAGAUGAUGGUCUGCACUCCAGGGCAUUACAAGAGUGGUUAUCAGCAGAUGUUCUCCAUGAAUGUGACUCACAGCAACCAGGGAAAGACGCCUUGAUUCAUGCAGGGACAAACCCCUACAAAUGCAAGCAGUGUGGGAAAGGUUUUAACAGGAAGUGGUAUCUCGUUCGACAUCAGAGGGUUCACACUGGAAUGAAACCCUAUGAAUGCAAUGCAUGUGGGAAAGCCUUUAGCCAGAGCUCAACUCUCAUUCGGCACUACCUCAUCCACACCGGGGAGAAACCAUACAAGUGCCUUGAGUGUGGGAAGGCCUUCAAACGCAGGUCGUACCUCAUGCAGCACCAUCCAAUCCACACUGGAGAGAAACCCUAUGAGUGUAGUCAAUGUCGAAAGGCCUUCACCCACCGGUCUACUUUUAUUCGCCAUAAUAGGACCCACACUGGAGAAAAGCCCUUUGAGUGCAAAGAAUGUGAGAAAGCCUUUAGCAAUAGAGCCCACCUAAUUCAACAUUACAUCAUCCACACUGGAGAGAAGCCCUAUGAUUGCAUGGCAUGUGGAAAGGCCUUCAGAUGCAGCUCAGAACUCAUACAGCACCAGCGGAUUCACACUGGGGAGAAGCCCUAUGAAUGCACCCAGUGUGGGAAAGCCUUUCACCGGAGCACGUACCUCAUUCAGCACUCUGUCAUCCACACUGGGGAGAUGCCCUACAAGUGUAUCGAGUGUGGGAAGGCCUUCAAACGCAGGUCACACCUUCUGCAGCACCAAAGGGUCCAUACAUGAGAGAACCCUAUUGCUGCAAUGAAUACAGCAAGGCCUUUACCCACUGUUAUUUUAUCAUUCAUAAUGGGACCCACACUGUAGGAAGAAGUCCUUCGAAUGCAAAGAAUGUCAGGAAACUUUUCAUUUUUUUUGUCAGCUCUUUCUUAACUAACACAUGAGCAGUCACUUUGGAGAGAAGCCCUGUGAAUACAGUGAAUGUAAGGAUCCCUUCAGUCACCACUCAGUUCUCACUCAUUGCAGAAGGAUUCAUACCAGGGGGAAAUGUGGAAGGCAUUCCAUCAACAUCAGAGAACUCAUGCUGGAGAAAGACAUUCCAAAUAUAACUAUUAAGGACAGUCUUUGGCCAGAGCAGAAAUCUUACUAUCUGAGAAUCAUAAUGAAAAGUUACUACAUAAUUGUUAUUGAUGUGAGAAAACUUUGUGACCAGGUUGUCACUUGCUUGUCCUAUAAAGAGCCAUGCUGGAAUUUGACCCACCUUGGGAUUUUCUCUAUGAACUUAUGAAAACCUUCAGUUACAGAAAAACUGCUUAAGGUUGAAAAGAGAAAUUUAAGAAAUUGCUGACGGAAUAAAAACAUAAUAGAACUACAACACCGAAGGAAAUGAAAGAAGCAAGAAGGAAAGCACCAGAAGUGAUUUGGAAGAGAAAUCCUAAAAUGAAUGUGAACAACAGAGUGAUCAGAAGAGUGUAGGGAAUUAAUAGUUUCUUUAAACAAGCCAUCUCACAAUGGAAGCCUGUGUGUCUUGAAAUUGCUGUGGUUAUUAUUCACUCUGCCCUUUGAAGAACUGCAGAAAUUCAUAGGGCAAUGUUAAGUGUUUGUGUCUCCAAAAAAGAUGUUGGAGUCGUUACCCUCAGAACCUCAGGUAAUCAUGUUAGUUAAUCCAUUAGGUUAGUUCCUAAUUGACUAUGACUGUGUCCUUAGAAAAAUGGGAAAUUUGGUCACAGAGGCAGAUGUACAGAGGGAAGACGAUGUGAAGACACAGGAAGAACAUCUUCAAGCCAAGGAACACACGGGGCUACCAGAAGCCGAGAUAGAAGCAUGGAACAUAUGUUCUAGUAAGAAGUGUCUGGGUUGUUUUGGUUUUUUUUCUUUGGAGUUUUUGUGGUAUUAAAUUAUUUUUAAAUUAUGUUUUAUUGUAGACCUCACAAUUCUUUUUUUUUCUUUUUCACUCAAACUACAGCAAAAUAUUAUAUUUCUAUCCUAUAUUUCAUGGGCUUACCUCUAGCCAAUUGUUUUUAACUGCCAUGUAAUAUUUUACAUCAUGAAGCUUUCAUCCUUGAUUCAAAUCCUCUGAUUAUGGACAUGUAUUUCCUCCAUUUUCCUGCUAUGAAAUAUAUCACCACCAGCUUGAUUCAACCUUAAAAAUAAGGUCAUCAGUAUUAUGUUCUAAAUAAACUUAUGGCCAUACAUGAGAAAUGUACCUUGCAGCUGAAUGGCUAGGUCAUAUGGUGAUCUAGUAUGUAACUGGAAUUAUGUUAUACAUUGCCCUUCCUCUCCCAUAAGAUGGACAAAAGUGUUUCUGUAUCACUGUGUCCCAGACAAUAUUUAGAAUUACCCAGCUUUCCAGUUUUUACUUUAGAAGUUUAAAGUGAUAUAGAAUAUAUCUGGUAUUUCUCAUAUUGAAAUACAUUUGAACAUUAGUUCAUAUCCUUUCAUUGCCUUUUGUUUUUCCUCUUCUGUCAAUGGUCUACUCAUAUGUUGGCCUGUCUUUAUUUGUAUCUUGACUUUUUAUUGUGUAUUUUGUUUAUGGUGGGGUACUUUAUUGGUGAUUAAUACGAUUUUCAAGUAUAUUAUAUGGGCUAGUCCCUUGAUACUAUUGACACUGUAUUUAUCUUCAGUCUCUUGUUGGUAUCUAACUUUGGUUCUGAAGUUUAUGGAAUGGAAGUAUUUAAUUGGAAAGAUUAAACAUAUUGAUUUUAAUU